rnacentral:lncRNA from 1 species
ACCCCUUUUUAUCUACCAGCCUAUAUACACAGUAUGAUAUUAAGUUGUCAUACAUGACGUUUAGUUAUACAUGAUGACUACCUUCAUUAUCCUAAUAGAAGAUGCGGACUAUUAUACACAACUUAAUGUUCAAUAUACAGACUACGUAUAAAAAUAAAACAACUUCAACUCUUCCUUUUUGUAUUCAUGUUUCAACUUUCAGCUCACAUUGACAGUGUAUCAGUGGUGUACCUGGUAUUGAGAAAAGCAAAAGAAGAAGAGGAGUGAUCAGUGGAAGCAGUAGCAUACACAGCAACAUAAAACAGCAAUAGAAAACAGCAACACAACCCUAGCAGUCAGGUUUUUAGUUUCCAACAGCAAACCCAGCAAAACGAAAUCCAACAAAACCCAGUAGGAGAGACCAGCAAUAGAUUUAAGCCAAACAGAAGUCCAGUGAACUCAGAAAACCCAAAACACUCAAAUGAAAUAGUGUUGUACCAGCUGGGAAACCAAGAAAACUAAGCUGAAAACUCAGCAGUGUCCCAACAAUUACAGGCUAAGCAAAGAAGGAAACAGAUGCAGAAAACAAUAGCCUCUGAUUUGUUAUGUUCAAAAAUCCAGCACCCUCCUAACUCUCUAUUACUCUGAAUUUAGGCUGACCUAUUCAAGUUUUGGAAAGUCCAGCCUUGUUUUUGGCUUCUUCUUUUUUUUAUCUCUUGGCACUCAAAAAAAAAACCUCCCCUUCUUCUAAAACUGUCCAGCCUAUUUAUAAGCCAGAAAUGGCAAGCCCCAAGGCUGCCUUUCCCCUCUGCCCAUACCCCCUUAAACUAAACAAAUAUGCCUAUGAUAUUCCUGACAGACUCCUCAUACCGCAUGCUUUUCUCUUUUUUAAUCAAAAUUAUGGGUGUUUAACUUAUUUUAAUUAACCUCCCCCAUGCCAUUUAAUCUUGUUCCCCACUAUUGCAUUAGUUUAAACCUAUUUCAGUACCCUAUUAUCAGCCCAACUUAAACUAAACAUUUCAGAUCUUUUCAAACCCCCAAACUAACCCUGCUAAACCCUGAUUAUUACUGUAUUACUGCAGCAGUAGGACAUUUUGAACUCUUGAAAGUUCAAAUUCAAAGCUGCCCUAAACUGAGUUCAGUUAUUGCACUGCAGUUACAAACCAUUCACAGAUAAUGUCAAACAAUCCGCUAAACGACAAUGAUUCGAUCCAUCAUAAAAAGUCAUAUGAAUCAGAAUAUUUGCACAUUCAGUCCUAUAAAACUAAUCGACGACAUUUAUCUAAUCGACUGCACUAAUUAUAACAUAGAACAAUUAGUCGAUCAAACAAACAAACGAAUAGGGCAUCAACUGCCUUCAACAAUUUUGCACGACAUAGGGAACCCAUAUGAAUUAUCUGUUCAACUAUGUUAAUCAAAUUGAAUAUGCAUCUUAUCAUACGUAUUCAAACAUAAACAGAAGAACAAUCGACCAAAUAAAAGGUCUUGCGAAGACGGAGAACAAAUUGGAAAGAAACAUCAGAAAUACCAAACAAACUAAUCAAACACGCUGACAAACUAAAACAACAUUUAAACAAAAAUCGAAAAGAAAGAGGGAACUCACUCUGAAAAGCUUAAACACAGACGACCCCAGCUUUGACCGUAUUUGCCCAUUUUGAGGUCGAACAAACUUUAAUCGGGGUGUUCUCAACCGAGAACACUUUAAUUAAGGUCUAUUAGACCCCAACCCUCUGUUAAACUAGCUGGAUUCCAAGGUUCUUGUGUUCUAGGGUUCGAACCAGUCCGAUUUGGGGCUUGAGGAUUUGUGGGUAGAUUCGGACCAAACCAAGCUUGGUUUGGUCACGAGUGAGGCCAGGGUGGUGACUGGUGUGAAAAUGGGGUGGGUUGGUGUUGGUCAGGGUUGGGCUCGAACCUUCAAAUUAAGAUUCGAGAUGAUGGGGGAUGAUUCGAAGCAAGGGGGUAGCAGAUCCGUGUUCAGGGUGGUGAGGUGCAUCAGGGGUGUUACUUUGGUGGUCACCGGCGUCGUUGCCGCCGGGUUCAUAGUGAGAGUGUAUGGGGGCGGCUAGGGUUUGGAACGGGGGCUUGGGUUUGUGUUUGGGACGAUGGUGUACAGUGGUGAAGGGUGG